rnacentral:rRNA from 1 species
UCGUAGAGGGGGGUAGAAUUCCAGGUGUAGCGGUGAAAUGCGUAGAGAUCUGGAGGAAUACCGGUGGCGAAGGCGGCCCCCUGGACGAAGACUGACGCUCAGGUGCGAAGGCGUGGGGAGCAGACAGGAUUAGAUACCCUGGUAGUCCACGCCGUAAACGAUGUCGACUUGGAGGUUGUGCCCUUGAGGCGUGGCUUCCGGAGCUAACGCGUUAAGUCGACCGCCUGGGGAGUGCGGCCGCAAGGUUAAAACUCAAAUGAAUUGACGGGGGCCCGCACAAGCGGUGGAGCAUGUGGUUUAAUUCGAUGCAACGCGAAGAACCUUACCUGGUCUUGACAUCCACGGAAGUUUUCAGAGAUGAGAAUGUGCCUUCGGGAACCGUGAGACAGGUGCUGCAUGGCUGUCGUCAGCUCGUGUUGUGAAAUGUUGGGUUAAGUCCCGCAACGAGCGCAACCCUUAUCCUUUGUUGCCAGCGGUCCGGCCGGGAACUCAAAGGAGACUGCCAGUGAUAAACUGGAGGAAGGUGGGGAUGACGUCAAGUCAUCAUGGCCCUUACGACCAGGGCUACACACGUGCUACAAUGGCGCAUACAAAGAGAAGCGACCUCGCGAGAGCAAGCGGACCUCAUAAAGUGCGUCGUAGUCCGGAUUGGAGUCUGCAACUCGACUCCAUGAAGUCGGAAUCGCUAGUAAUCG